CCCUAUAACGCGCCGAGCUCCAUCCAAUAGGCGAGGGAUUCCGACCGCGGAUGGAGGCGGGGGACCCACCAGGUCCGCCGAGAUCGGACCGGAGCCGCGCGGUGGCUCCUUGGGGUGAAGCCGACGUCGUCUCGCCGAAGUACGACGCUGGCCGGGUGACCUCUCUGGUUUGAAUCCAACCCGAACCCGACAGCUGACCUCGCAGGCGUGUAUAGAGAGGAAUU
rnacentral:sRNA from 1 species